GACGAACGCUGGCGGCGUGCCUAAUACAUGCAAGUCGAGCGAAUUUACGAGAGCUUGCUCUCGUGAAUUAGCGGCGGACGGGUGAGUAACACGUGGGCAACCUGCCUAUAAGACUGGGAUAACUUCGGGAAACCGAGCUAAUACCGGAUAAUUCACAUCUACUCAUGUAGAUGUGCUGAAAGACGGUUUACGCUGUCACUUAUAGAUGGGCCCGCGGCGCAUUAGCUAGUUGGUGAGGUAACGGCUCACCAAGGCCACGAUGCGUAGCCGACCUGAGAGGGUGAUCGGCCACACUGGGACUGAGACACGGCCCAGACUCCUACGGAGGCAGCAGUAGGGAAUCUUCCGCAAUGGACGAAAGUCUGACGGAGCAACGCCGCGUGAGUGAUUAAGG
rnacentral:rRNA from 1 species